AUGGAGGGGAAGUGCGUAGUGGAUUUUCUACAAUUUGCUGAUGACAUUCUCUUAGUGUGGGAAGGUAACUGGAAACAGGUUUGGGCUCUCAAAGCGGUGUUAAGAGGGUUCAAAGUCGUCUCGGGGCUAGGAGUCAACUUUCUCAAGAGCAGACUUGUUGGUAUUAAUCCGAGUGUUCAUUUUCUUUCUGCAAUGACCAAUUUUCUGUCUUGCAGGAUAAAAGAUAAAACAUUCAUGUUUCUCGGUAUUUCUAUCGGUUCCAAUCCAAGGUGGAUUUCUUCGUGGAAACCGUUGUAUCCAAGUUGA